CGUUCAGCACAAAACAAAUGAGAUUAGGCUCCGCCUACCGCGAUCAUUUGAAGACAAAAAUAAGCCCUCAUUGACAUUCAUGAGCAUGAAGAUAUUCAUAAUCCGGCCUUUUCAUUGGCUAAGAGCGUCAUUAAUACGCGAUUUCCCCGAUUCUUUGUCAUCGAUACUAGUGGUAUCGUGUUACAGAAUUAAUUAUUCAUUUGACCUCAUUACGUCAUCUAAUUUAUUCAUUAUGAAACUUUUCUUUCCACACAAAAAUGGACCUACGAACACUCCGGUGAGUUGAGUUUGAAGAACAAGAAAAACAGUAGAGGUCUACCCGGUACCUAUGGUUAAACAUGAUGAUCAUAAGUGCAUGUAUCAUUUUGCAGAUUCUCAUCCAGGAUGAUGCAGCUCUACAAUUUCCAUGGAGGUGAUUGAUGAUGAUAAACAAUUGGUGAAGUAGGCCUAAUAGAACAGUGAUAGGACCACAAAGAGAAAUACAACCUACAGCAGUUAUAUGAGACUGGUGUAACAGAUGUUUUCAUUCAAGAAAUCCAACAAAUUGAAGAGUGACUUAGCUUAGGAAGCACUUGAUAAAGAUGGAAAAGUUUUUUUUUUUUUCAAGUCCAAU